GGCUUUGAAGUAUAUAUUACGUUGAAUUGCAAAUUCAGAGAAACAGCUGAUAGCUGUCAGAGCUU
rnacentral:tRNA from 1 species